GAGCCAAUCUAGCAUAUGACUGACGAUGAGGUUUGACGAGUUCUCCAUGACCUCCAUCCAAUCGGGAUUGUCGAUAAAGAGAUUGUAUCACAUGAUAACUGUAUCUAGGGGUUCACUUUUCUAUUCUGCUGAGUUGCCACUACAUAUUGCUAGACAUCACUGGUGGAUCAUGAGAACUCAUUAAGAUCAUUUUCGGAUU
rnacentral:lncRNA from 1 species